CAUUUAUUCAACAAUUCAAUUUUCUCGUUUAAAUAUACCUUGCUUGUUAUUACAUAAAAUAAUUCAUGGAAAUGUCGUGUUAAAUGUCACCCUGUUUUAAGAAAAGAGUCAUUACUUUAUACCGAGAAAUCUGCCUUUCUUCGUACAAAUGCUAAUAUUCGUCUGAAAUUUCCCACAAUUGAUAUAAGACAAUAUCGCUCGUUGAUAUAAGAAAAGUUUAUAUCGAUUCGCUUCUUCCAUAGACUGAU
rnacentral:lncRNA from 1 species